ensembl:lncRNA
GGUCAGCCCAGCAAACUGAGACAUUUGUGCGCAUGAGGGUGGCGCACCAACAUCUAUUUACAGGUGGACGGGAUACUGCCAUUAAUGGCUAUCGCACUUUGAACAGCUAGAGCUGACAGGCCGGGUGACCCCACUGCAGGCCAAAAAAAAGUGGGAUAACCUUAAAACUAAAUAUAAGGUGAGGAGUAAGAUGACAGCAAUAUUGUUUUGACAAUAAGUGCCUACAUGCUGUGUCCUAGUUGUAUGUAUAACAGUGAAAUAUUAGAUUGCUAAUUGCCUAGUUGUUUAUCAUAUUUUUAUUGUCAGGAUUGCAAGUGCCCUGCCUCAGGUCAAGGCACGGAGGAUGGCAGGCCCACAGCAGGGACAUGGCGCUGGUUUGCCUUAAUGGACGAACUCAUUGGCAUGUCAGCAGCCGUGUCACCGCCAGUGGUAGUGGGCUCUCUCCCAGCCAGGCCAGGCCAGGUUAGGGUCAGAGUGGAGGAGGAGGUGGUGAGAGCAGGAACCAGCACAGCGACAGCCGCAGGGGAAGGAGCAGCGGGUGCAGCAGGGGCAGGGAGAAGAGGGAGGGAGGAUCCCUUCCUGAUUCUGGUGAGGGAGGAUAUUCUUUAUCAGCGGCAGGCGGAUGAGAGGAGAGAGGUGGAGUCAAG